rnacentral:tRNA from 1 species
AGAAGUGUGCCCGAGUCAGGGACUACCUUGAUAGAGUAGACACAGGAUUAUCCUCACUUCUG